rnacentral:rRNA from 1 species
CGACAGGCUUAACACAUGCAAGUCGAGGGGCAGCACAGGUAGCAAUACCGGGUGGCGACCGGCGCACGGGUGAGUAACGCGUAUGCAACUUACCUAUCAGAGGGGGAUAACCCGGCGAAAGUCGGACUAAUACCGCAUGAAGCAGGGGCCCCGCAUGGGGAUAUUUGCUAAAGAUUCAUCGCUGAUAGAUAGGCAUGCGUUCCAUUAGGCAGUUGGCGGGGUAACGGCCCACCAAACCGACGAUGGAUAGGGGUUCUGAGAGGAAGGUCCCCCACAUUGGUACUGAGACACGGACCAAACUCCUACGGGAGGCAGCAGUGAGGAAUAUUGGUCAAUGGCCGAGAGGCUGAACCAGCCAAGUUGCGUGAGGGAUGAAGGUUCUAUGGAUCGUAAACCUCUUUUAUAAGGGAAUAAAGUGCGGGACGUGUCCCGUUUUGUAUGUACCUUAUGAAUAAGGAUCGGCUAACUCCGUGCCAGCAGCCGCGGUAAUACGGAGGAUCCGAGCGUUAUCCGGAUUUAUUGGGUUUAAAGGGUGCGUAGGCGGCCUUUUAAGUCAGCGGUGAAAGUCUGUGGCUCAACCAUAGAAUUGCCGUUGAAACUGGGGGGCUUGAGUAUGUUUGAGGCAGGCGGAAUGCGUGGUGUAGCGGUGAAAUGCAUAGAUAUCACGCAGAACCCCGAUUGCGAAGGCAGCCUGCCAAGCCAUUACUGACGCUGAUGCACGAAAGCGUGGGGAUCAAACAGGAUUAGAUACCCUGGUAGUCCACGCAGUAAACGAUGAUCACUAGCUGUUUGCGAUACACUGUAAGCGGCACAGCGAAAGCGUUAAGUGAUCCACCUGGGGAGUACGCCGGCAACGGUGAAACUCAAAGGAAUUGACGGGGGCCCGCACAAGCGGAGGAACAUGUGGUUUAAUUCGAUGAUACGCGAGGAACCUUACCCGGGUUUGAACGCAUUCGGACCGAGGUGGAAACACCUUUUCUAGCAAUAGCCGUUUGCGAGGUGCUGCAUGGUUGUCGUCAGCUCGUGCCGUGAGGUGUCGGCUUAAGUGCCAUAACGAGCGCAACCCUUGCCACUAGUUACUAACAGGUAAAGCUGAGGACUCUGGUGGGACUGCCAGCGUAAGCUGCGAGGAAGGCGGGGAUGACGUCAAAUCAGCACGGCCCUUACAUCCGGGGCGACACACGUGUUACAAUGGCGUGGACAAAGGGAAGCCACCUGGCGACAGGGAGCGAAUCCCCAAACCACGUCUCAGUUCGGAUCGGAGUCUGCAACCCGACUCCGUGAAGCUGGAUUCGCUAGUAAUCGCGCAUCAGCCAUGGCGCGGUGAAUACGUUCCCGGGCCUUGUACACACCGCCCGUCAAGCCAUGGGAGCCGGGGGUACCUGAAGUCCGUAACCGCGAGGAUCGGCCUAGGGUAAAACUGGUGACUGGGGCU